CUGAAAGAUACUGGAGAAAAAACUACGGCGAAUAUUGUUCUCAAACAAAUGACGGGAAGCCACUGUCAUUUUGAUUUAUUAUUAUUAUUAUUAUUAUUACCAGUGUAUUCAUUGGCUGGUGUGCGCCCAUGAGGGCAAAGCAAAGCCAGGUGAGUAUCCUCAGACUUGGGAGACCCGAGGGAAACAAAGCUUCAGCUCCGCACAUCAUGACAGAAGAACGGAAGAUGCUGAAGAGAUGUGUAGCUGCUAGAGUUCAGGGCUAGAUUCUCCUCCCAGCGAAGCCUCGUCCUUGCGCUUUGAUGGCAGCUGCUCAGAGAGAAGGCCUGCAUAGUCAAACGCCUGUCAGCUGACCAGUGAAGAUUCUGAGCGGCAGGUUAGCUAAAUGAUGCCGAUGGUUUCUCUGCCUCCGAUACCACAACUGAGGGCUUGAGGAAAUGCUGCAUAAAGGACGGGUUUGUAAAUUCCUAUUUGAGAGACCACAAUGUAAAAUUAGAACUAGGGCAUUUAUUUUUAUCACACUUAGUAAUAAAGGGUAAAUUUUUAAAAGUGUAGGCUGGAUACGUGCCAUACAUUAUUGGAACUUUCGCAGCUGUGGAAUCUCCUUUGUCAUCAUUGUACAGAGAGAAAAACCAUGCUUUGGAGAAUGGGAGUUUCAGGGGAUCCAGCGCCCUCUUCCGGUCUCCACAGGCGUCUGCAAGCUCACAACCUUCUGCAACUCCAGUUUCAGGGGAUCCAGCGCCCUCUUCCGGUCUCCACAGGCGUCUGCAUGCACACACACUAAAAUAGAAAAGAAAAAGCAAAUUACUCCCUCACAGCGCUGGAGGAUAGGAACGCUAAGAACCCUGGUAUUGGCCGAUGCAGUGUCUGGUGAGAGGCAGUUCACAGAUGGUAAAAGGUUUUCAAGCAUAAAGGAAGAGAUGGGAAGAAUGCGGAGGGAAGUCACCCACUGGAUGCCUGCCACCAGAGAAUCCGAAGUUCUGGUUUGACGUGUUGACAGCCCGAUGGUGUCUGCGGAUUGUCUAGAUGUAACAGGGACUGUACCAUGCUGCUGUAAACACUUUUUUGUGGGUAAAAAAUGAACUAUUGAGAGAGAGCUCUGUGGGAAUUCUGUGGCAUUAAGGCAUUGGUGACAGUUGUAGCUGUUGUUGGAAGUGAGCUUCACAUGUCUCUGACUCCUCACUAAGGAUUAUGAAUGCAAGCUUAGCCCGAUUUAGCCAGGGUGAGGAACUCCAUUUUCUGAGCCCUGUUUCAUAGUAUAACACACCUUGGAGCUAAUUUCUAAACUGACAAUUUUAAGUUCCUUUUGCUGGAGAUUUGGUGACCUGCUAUAUUUAUAACUCUCUCAGACUCCAUUUCUGCUCAGAAGGACUAGAUCAUACACCUAUAAUUCCAGCUGCUCAGGGGGCUGAGGCAGGAGGAUCACAAGGUUAAGGCCAACCUAGUCAACAAAGAGACUGUCUCAAAAUGAAGUAGAAAAGGAUUGGGGACCAGGAAUAGUUGUGGUCCCAGGUGAGAAGAGGAGGCAGGGGGAUUACACCAGCCUGGUCCACACAGCAAGAAGAAAAGGGAGAAGAAGAAGAAGAAGGCAAAAGAGGAGAGGAGAGAAGGGGGUGAUGUUAGGUAGGGUGCGUGAGUAACAAGCUUGAGGCCCUUCAUCCAGUUCUCUAUACCAAGGAACAACACCAAGGCUAGCCUUUGGCUUACUUACACACACACACACACACCACACACAUACCACACACACACAUGCCACAUACACACCACACACACAUGCCACACACAUACAA